UUUUGAUAGUGUCUCUCAAAUUUCGUGGGUUGUUGUCGCUUCUCUAGCGAGCAGCAUCAUUAGCUAUGUGUUACCUUUGUAAUAAGCCAGCUAGAUGACGUUGGCCCCGGUGUUACACCGAAUUCUGCGACCCGCCGAAAUCUGUGACCCCAGGGGGCGCUGUUGCACAUUUUCUGCAACAUGCGCGAGGUUGAAGUGUAGCAGGGUUAAUGCUUCCCACUUGCCAUUGCCAGCGAGAUCCUUGCGCUGGCUGUGGUAGUGGGAGCCUUGGUUGGAGUGCUAGAGCUCCCCCUAGCGGAAUGCGGGGGUUGUAUUGUACGUUGCUGCCUCCUCUCCUCAGUCUACGUAUACCCCGGCUGGGAGAGGUAGGUAGUCAGAGCAGUUAAAUAUGAAUCCACACUUUGGCGAUGUAUUACGGGAGUCUAAAUGUACAUAAUACUGUAUUAAUACUUGGUUGCUUGUACAUAUAUAUAUUGUGUUCCUUGGAAUCGGUAAUUACAUUUAAAUGGACUUUAGGCUUAGGAUCGCUAGCUUGGCUACCAUGUGCUUUGGUCGUAGCUACUUAGCUAGGCUGGACUUCGCCAAGAAUGUGUACUUCAGCUUGUCUUUCUCUCAUGUUAGGCUGCCAUUGUGAGGGUUCUCAAAGAGCAUUUCCCGUGUUAAAUAUUCCACCAGAAUAAACGGCUGGCUGCCAAUGGUUCCAUCGUGGUCUCAAUCACAACGCAACGAGAGAGUACGCAACCGCUACAAAUGGUGCCGUGACCCGUUCUUCUCUGCCUGUCUGCUGCGUCAUUGAGGAUCGCCAUUCAACACGUGGCACGUGAGCUCCGACGACGUGGCCGUGCAGUGAGACGCCCGUGCUGCUUCUAGUAGACAGGUUCAGUAAUAAAAAUAAAGAGGAAUAGUUCGAACCAAGGCAUAUGGUUACUGCCGACCAUCUUGUAAAGAUAUAUGUGUUUUAAUUUUUUUUUGUGUUUUAUUUUAUUUUUAUUUCUCCUCGUGCACAUAAUGCAAAUUGUUUUCUUUUUUUUGCUUUUGAGUUGAACGUGACAUUUGAACAGUGACGUGUAAUUAGUUGUGUAUGUGUUUUUUAUUUCUUUACUAUUGUCACUGCAUAACGUACAUUUUGGGUUUUGGGAAAUUGUGACUCAUUAAAGA
ensembl:lncRNA